rnacentral:tRNA from 1 species
GUCCCUUUCGUCCAGUGGUAAGGACACCGGCUUUUCACGCCGAAGACACGGGUUCAAUUCCCGUAAGGGAUA